GACAGAGGUGGCGAGCGUUGUUCGGAAUUACUGGGCUUAAAGGGCGAGUAGGCGGUGGAACAAGUCUGAGGUGGAAUCUUAGGGCUUAACCCUAAAAUUGCCUUAGAAACUGUUUUACUUGAGUCAGUGAGGGGAGGGCGGAAUUCCUGGUGUAGCGGUGAAAUGCGUAGAUAUCAGGAGGAAGGCCUGUGGCGAAGGCGGCCCUCUGGCACUGGACUGACGCUGAGGCGCGAAAGCGUGGGGAGCAAACAGG
rnacentral:rRNA from 1 species